rnacentral:rRNA from 1 species
UACGUAGGGCGCAAGCGUUGUCCGGAAUUAUUGGGCGUAAAGAGCUCGUAGGCGGCGUGUUGCGUCGGUUGUGAAAGCCCGGGGCUUAACUCCGGGUCUGCAGUCGAUACGGGCAUGCUUGAGUUCGGUAGGGGAGAUCGGAAUUCCUGGUGUAGCGGUGAAAUUCGUAGAUAUCGGGUGGAACACCUGUGGCGAAGGCGGCCAUCUGGACGUCAACUGACGCUGAGACGCGAAAGCAUGGGGAGCAAACAGG